UCCUACGGGACGCAGCAGUGGGGGAUAUUGGACAAUGGGGGAAACCCUGAUCCAGCGAUGCCGCGUGAGGGAAGAAGGUUUUCGGAUUGUAAACCUCUGUGGCGGGGGACGAUAAUGACGGUACCCCUUUAGGAAGCCACGGCUAACUACGUGCCAGCAGCCGCGGUAAUACGUAGGGGGCAAGCGUUAUCCGGAUUUACUGGGUGUAAAGGGAGCGUAGACGGCAGGGCAAGUCUGGAGUGAAAGCCCGGGGCCCAACCCCGGGACUGCUUUGGAAACUGCCAUGCUAGAGUGCUGGUGAGGUA
rnacentral:rRNA from 1 species